rnacentral:lncRNA from 1 species
UGGAUACAUUCUCAUCAUUUCACAAUUGAUUUGGCAAAGUGUACAAAAAUUGGUCACAUGUCACAAACCCUAGCAACAUUUAAAAACCACUCAUCCAAAAAUUCUGGAAAAAUAAUGAUAAAAAAGUAGAGAUCAUGAUGAACACAACACAAAAAAUCCCAUUCAAUUUGGACCAAAAAUGAGCAAGUUAUGAAUUUUAGAAGAUUGAUGAAAUAAUUGAAGAAAUAAGAUGAAAUGAUAAAACAAGAAUGGCAUAAUUGUAAUAUUUGAAACCACUAAUUAAAACGCGGUCGUUUAGGGCCAGGAUUUGAAAUGUUUCUAUUGGUCAAUGAGUGGAAAGGCCAUGCACGUG